UAAUUCAUUAUUCCUUCAUGUUUAUCGAUGAAUUUACAUACAAGUAUCAGUGGCAGAACAGGCUAAGAAAAUGAUAACCGAUCGGCUUGUUUGAGUACGUACUGAGCUGCAACUCCCCUUGGGGUGAUGAACAUAUAAAGUCGAUAACGUUUCUGAGAAUUUCUUCAUUUGUAUCCAUUAGCCCGGCAAUGGUGAUAGAAAAUUGUUGUGCUUUAUUUAAUGAUUUAUUACAUGACUUCCCGUAUUUAUCCUUGCAAAUUACACUGAUCUUCUUUUGAUGAAGUAUAGUUCACAUUAGCACUCGGAUGAUGCACCAGUUACCGGAGUAUGAUGCGUCUGCCAAACAAAAUUCAUUGAGUCACUGAAUCCCCAAAAAUGAUGUACGCCGUUACAUUCCUAUGAUUACACCAAAAAGAAAAUUCAAUCGACAUCUAAUGUUUAGUACUGGGAAUGAAGCUGAAGUUUCUCAGAACAUAUGGUAUUCAUUUCCUUCCAGAGUGUUCAAAAAAUGUAAUAAGCACAGGAGGUGGCUAUGCAAAAGAAGGUUGUCUUUCUUCCCUUGGUGAGCAACAAGAGAGGAGAUCUUGUAACCUGAAAUCUGAGGGACUGGAAAAGUCACAUACAUUAAUUAGUGCUGUAUGUGUAACUGUUUGGGUGAAAAUGUUGAUUAUUUUCUCCUUCACUGUCGGAUAGCCUUGAGGUUAUGGUGGGAAAUUCAUUACUGGUUUGGUAUAACUUUGGUGAUGCUAUGCUCCGGAAGGAUUUGAUGUUCAGUUGAACUUGUGGUUGAUAGAAGGGAAGUACAAUACCUGGAAGGUUUGUUCCACUAGCACUAUGUUUAUUAGGAGAACCGUUGAAAGUGUUGAGAUGUUUAUUAAUAUAGUUGAGGAAUAACCUCUUUCCUUUAUUUCUUUUUGGUGCACCCAUGAGGUUUCGUUUAGAGAGAAGAUUGGAGUCUUUUUGUAGAAAAUGGCUGUUUUCUUAAAAAUAUUUGUCGGUGUUCAGCCAACUUACCCCCAUCUCGAUUAAUUCAAUCGGGUACCUGGUACCUCCCACCAACACAGGGUAUCGGGUAAUUCUAUCCACUAAGGCUACACCCCUUGGCCCUUGGGUGCCAUAGUUGUUGUUAGGUUCUCUACUUUUUGAUAUACUUCUUGUAUACGGGUAUUUUUGUGCCCAAACAUGUUAAUAAAGUUAUUAUUUUAUCAAAAAAAAAAUCUGGCCACAACACAAUGUAGGAACAAGUGUUUUACAUCAUCUUAAGUUAGAGUUUCUUGGGCAGCAUUUAUUGCAAAAAUUGAACUCUCCUUUCAUAGAUUUUGAGUGUGGCAACCCCUGUACAUCACUGCCUAGCUGUAGCAGCCACUUUAAACUUUUCAAAUUAAUCAAUUAGUAGCUAAGCGUAUACACUCAUUGUUUCUGGCUUGUUAUUCUUCAACUCGAGUAAACGCUGAUGUAAGAAAUUUACAAAACUACUCAAGGAGGAAUAUUUUCAACCUCAGCAUAAAUGCAUUGUUCAGGUGCACUGAGAAAUUCGUUAUUUCUCUCAGGUGUUAUUUAUUUAUUUAUUAGAGUAAUAUAUUUCGUAAGCUCAUUCUUUUAAGUAAAUUUCAAUCUUGUAGAAGUUGGGCUUAAUCAUGUAUGGUGUGUCUCCGAAGCUGAACUAUUAUUGCAAUGUUCUUAUGGAAAUUUAUUACAAAUAAUCGCCUAUUUGUACGAAUUGCUUGAUCACUUUGCAUUUUUGUUGAGACUUUGUCCUUCUUGUAAGAGUGACUUUUCACCAAUAUUGGCAUGCCUCUCGAUUCGGAUCUUGCCCAUCUUGACUUUGGAUUUACAUUUCGUCUUGACGAUGGAUUUUCGUCCAUUCUCGAGUACGCGUGGAAAGCCACUUUCAACAUGGUUUUUGAUCCUCUUGAUAUUGGGUGAUGGCCCUUCUUGAUAUGGGCUUCAGUCCUUCUUGAUUUCGGGGCUCCGGUCCGUCUUGAUAAUGAUUGUGUUUUAGUGCGAUGGCAUGACGUACAUAUUGGGCGAAAUUGAUUAUUGGACAACUCUUUUGAAUUGAAUUAUAAGCUUUCUUGAUACUUGAGCUUUCGAAUAGUAGUGUUGAUAUUUUGAAACUAUCCAAGGUUUGUAUUCAAUACUUUGUUAUACUUGUUCACUUGGACUUACUGUUACCUUAUUGAGCCACCUACGUCGAACAGGGGAAUUGGCGAAUUUAAUGGCUCCAAGCCCAAAGUUUAUGCACCACUAAGCUUUAUGCUUAGCGAUAAUUGUUUUCUAUCGUAGGUAAUGCGCGAGACGGAAUUUGAAGAUGGCCAUUUGGAGUAGACUUUUUGGGAGCCUUGGUGAAGAUCACAUCUGCAUAUGCAUCUAGUUUUGUAUAUAUUUUGGGGACUUGUACAGGAUACAUGUGACACUUAUGUAUGAAAUUUUGAAGGCUUGUGAAAACAAAACCAUAUGCUUGUAACUUGAACUGGGUGACUAGUUUUGCUAUCUUUUGGAGUGUGGUUUUAUCUCAAGGCAUGCCAUGUACUGGGUUUAUACUUUGACUUGUCAUUAUGCACAAGGGAAGAUAAUAGUUUUGUGAUAAUUACUAGUUCGAGUUUUGUGUA